GCGGAUGAGGCCGGGCGCGGUGGCUCACGCCUGUGGUCCCAGCACUUUGGGAGGCCGAGGCGGGCGGAUCACAAGGUCAGGAGAUAGAGACCAUCCUGGCUAACACUGUGAAAUCCGGUCUCUUCUAAAAAUACAAAAAACAAUUAGCCAGGCGUGGUGGCGGGCGCUUGUAGUCCCAGCUACUCAGGAGGCUGAGGCAGGAGAAUGGUGUGAACCCGGGAGGCGCAGCUUGCAGCGAGCCGAGAUGGCGCCGCUGCACUCCAGCCUGGGUGACAGAGCGAGACUCCAUCUCAAAAAAAAAAAAGAAAAAGAAAAAGAAAAGAAAAGAAACUGGCGGACGAAGGAAGAGAUCCUCCUUCAGGCAGGGUAGGGAAGAAGGGCACUCGGUGACCAGAGACCUUUUCCAGGACCAUGUCUUUGAAGCAAAUCUCAGCUCUUGUCUUCCGGAAGCGAUGGAGGCAGAAUCCAGAAGCCUGAGACUCUCUCCUUUCCUGGCUUUGAUGAAGCAAGCUGCCACUCUGGAGAGGCCUACAUGAUAAGGACCUGAAGGUGGCCUCCAGCUAGCUCCAGCCAACAGUCGGCAAGGAAUUGAGGACCUGAGUCCAAUAGACCUUGAGGAACUGAAUCCUGCCAACAGCUACACAAGUGAGCAUGGCAGUGUAUUCUUCCCCAGUAAAGCCUUCAGAUGAGACCCCAGCCCCAGCUGACACCUUGAUUGCAGCCUUGUGAGAGAACCUGAAGCAGAGAAACCAGCUAGGCCUUGCCUGGAUUCCUGAUCCACAAACUGACAUCUGAAAAGUGUCAAAAGACCCUAGGAUAAGACUGAGGAGGCCAUUAUCAGGCUCCCUACAAGGGACUGGUCAUCUUUUAGAAGCCAGAAGAGAAAAACAGCUUUUGUGAUGCCCUAUAAUUCCAUGAACUCUACUAAAAAGAGGGAUACUGGAAAGAAGAAUAAUGUUGAGUCACCUUUGCAGAAGAAAAAACAACUUCCUCUCUUCCUCUACUUCACUCUGGCAAGUUCUCCAACCUGACAAGCCAGUAGGGGACAGUUUUGCUUUUGUCGCCCAGGCUGGAGUGCAAUGGCGUGAUCGUGACUCACUGCAACCUCCGUCUCCCAGGUUCAAGCGAUUCUUCUGCCUCAGCCCCAGUGAGUAGCUGGGAUUACAGGCACCUGCUGCCAUGCCCAGCUAAUUUUUGUAUUUUUAGUAGAGACAGGGUUUCACCAUGUUGGCCAGGCUGGUCUGGAACUCCUGACCUCAGGUGAUCCACCUGCCUCGGCCUCCCAAAGUGCUGGGAUUGCACCUCAGGUAAGCCACCAUGUCCAGCCCACAAGAUAGCCAUCUAAUAUAUAAAGGCACAGAUAGAUUAAAAGCAAAGGGAUGGAGAUAAACAUACCACACUAACAGUAAUCGGAAGAAAAUAGAGGCAGCUAUAUUAAUUUAAAACAAGUCAGAUUUCAGCACAAGGAAAAUUGUCAGGGAUAAAGAGGGGCAUUACAUGAUAACAAAGGGGUCAAUUUUCCAAAAAGCCAUAAUAAUUCCUAAUGUGUACACAUCUAACAACAAGAGUGUCAAAAUAUAUGAGGCAAAAGUGGUAGAACUACAAGGAGAAAUAGAUAAAUCCAUUAUUAUUGUGGGACACUUCAAAAUGUCUCUAUUAGUAAUUGACAGAUAAAGCAGAAAAUCUGUGAAGAUAUUGUUGAUCAGAACACCACUAGUAAUCAGCUUGAUCUAACUGACAUGUAUUGAAUACUUCAUUCAACAGCAUUCUAUUCAAGCUCACAUGGAACAUUAACUAAGGUAAAUCACAUUCUGGGCCAUAAAGCAUACCUUAAUAACUAUAAAAGAAAUUAUAUAAUGUCUACUCUUAGACCAUAAUGUAGCAAAACUAGAAAUCAAUAACAUAAAGAUAUCCAGAAAAUCCCAAAAUACAUGAAGAUUAAACAACACACAUGGGCAAAGAAGAAGUAUCAAGAGAAAUUUUAAAAUAUUUUAAACUAAAUGAAAAUGGAAAAAUCAAAAUUUGCUGCAAAAUCAAAAUUGUAGCAAAAAUAGUGUUUAGAAGGAAAUUUCUAGCAUUAAAUACACAUGUUAGAAAAGAAUAAAGACCUAAAAUCUCUGUACAGCUCUGGCUCACUUAACUGACAGAUGUCUCUCUGUUUCCAAAAUAUUGGAAAGCACAGAUUACUCUUUAGGUAGCACAGAGAUAGAAGGAGGAGCCCCAUCCUACACAGGAAGGCAAGGAUAGGAAUACCCAGGAAGUCAAGCUGGAGCUCAGCCACGGUGCAGUAAGGCUUCUGAGACAAAGAAGGUAGUCUUCAUUAUCAGAAGCUGAGUGCUGAGUCCCCAUUCCAGAUCAGAGUUCCAGGCCUACAUCACGGAACUUUAACAUAGACACCAGAAGUUCUUGAGGGUGGGGCGGGGACAACAAAUGGAAGAUGAACCCACAGUUCUUCCCCCUAUCAUCUAGCCCAACUGAUCUGUCCAUUCCCCUGGGUCCUUUUAGAUCUUCAUCUUACCCUCCAACUGCACCCUUUCAUGAUACUAUAUGUUUACAUUAGUAACAUUUUCUAUUUAUUCCACCUAUUACCUUUUACUGCUUCAUGAUCCGCCUUUGGAGCCCACUAUCUUUGAAAGUGACGUGGCCAUGGAUUUACACCUUCAAGAUCUACUCUGUCCUCAACUAUAACCUCCCCACGAACACAAUGUUUUUUUUUUCACCUGUACAAAACCAGGAAUAUACUCAGCAGCAACCUAUCCCCUCCAUAUUUCUUCAAAAAGAUCCAUGUUUACCAAAAGCCAUCAGAGAACAGAGUAACCUGUACAACAAAGAGGGGCACAAAGGCAUGGCCCAUCUCUGGCAAAAAAUUUGGAACUCUUUCAGUAAUUUUUUCUCCUCUAAUCUCUCUUAGGCUAUUCACCCCUAAGGGCUCUCAAAUCUAGCUCCCUCUACCUAUACAGUGUUCUAUCCUACGCACCUUCUUUCUUCUCUUUACCAAACCCCCUCUCUUCUUCCCAGCAUUUUAAAAUUCUGCCUCAAUUUCACAGAGCAACUGUGCUGAACCACAACCCACAUAACCAAACUUAUCCUGAUUUAGGAAGCAGAUUUCUCCUUAGUGUAAUAUAGCCUAUAAUGAGCACAAUUGAAAAUUAGCAUAGCAUUUUGUUUUGAAUUAUGCCUAUGAUUACUUCUUUUAUGAAAGUUUUUAUUAUUUUUUUCCAUCUACUUCCUAACUUUUCACCCCAAUUCCUAUGGCUCCUCUAUACUUUUUUCAAACAAUGUCUAUUUUGUUUAUAGUAUAUAUGUAUUUAUCUCCCCAUGUUAGCCAGUCAUUUAACAGUUACAACCCUUGAAGCUUCUCUACUUAGGUUAUGAACUGCUGAAAUUAAGCCUUGUGUCAUUGCCUUACACUGCUUGCCUAAAUUCCCUCACUGAGUCUGAUGACUCCAUCUUGACCCCAGGCACCCAAUCCUUUUCAUCUGACGAGGGUUUACCAGUGAUGACAGCUUUACCUGUCUUCUGUAUCCACAGCUUCUCCAUUUUCUCUACCCAAAAGGAGGUAAACUUUAAGCCUGCCUCCUCACAUCUACCCUCCCUUGACUACAGGAGGUCUCUCUGUUGAGAAAUAUAUCUCCAUAUAGCCUUGCAUCCUGAUGGUUUUUGUUGUUUUGGAUGUUUGGUUUCAUUCUGUUUGUUUAUAAUGUCUGGUCCUAACAGCCUGUAUGGUCCCUAGAACUCACAAAUGUAAAAAUGUCCUUUACAGCCAGAGCAAGAUAAGCUCCACCAUAAACUUUCCAAGAAGAGAGGAUUAUAAAAAUUACACAUUGAAUAUAUUCUUCAAAAAGGGUGAUGCCAUAAAAAAAAUGUUGAGAAACUGCUCUAGAUUAGAGACUAAAGACACAUGAGAACUAAAUGCAAUACAUAAUUCUAGACUGGAUCCUGUAAUGGAGGUUAUUUUUAAGCCACAAAGGAUAUUACUGACAAAAAUGGAAUAUGGAUAAGAGAUUAAUUAAAAGUUUUACACCAAUGCUCAAUUUACUGAAGGGGAUAAUUGACUGUGUAAAAGAAUAUUCUUUUCUUAAGAAAUACACAAUGAAAUAGUCAAGAAGAAAGUGGAUGAUGUAUGAAAAGUAUUCUCUGAUGUCCAGGAAUUCAUGUGUGUGUGUGUGUGUGUGUGUGUGUGUGUGUGUGUAUGUGUGUGUGUGGAGAGAGAGAGAGAAGAGAGGAGGUAGGAGGGAGGGAUAUAGGAGAGAGAUCACAAAUGGGUCAAAAUGUGAAUAGGCAAAUCUGGAUAAAAGUUACACUGUUGUGAUAUGGUUUGGAUGUUUCGUUCCCUCCAAAUCUCAUGUUAAAAUAUGACCACCAGUGUUGGAGGUGGGUCUAGUGGGAGGUGUUUGUGUCAAAGGGGUGGAUCCCUCAUGAAUGGUUUGGUGCCCUCCCCAUGGUAAUAAAUGAGUUCAUAUGAGAUCUGGCUGUUUAAAAGAAUGUGCCACCUCCCCCACUCUCUCUCCUGAUCCCUCUCCCACCAUGUGACAUGUUGGCUCUAGUCUUCCUUCUGCCAUGACUAAAAAUCUUCUGAGGCCCUCUCCAGAAGCAGAUGCUGGUGCCACCUUCCUGUAUAGCCUGCAGAACUGUGAGCCAAAAUAAAAUUCUUUUUGUUAUAAAUUA